GACUACUGGGGUAUCUAAUCCUGUUUGCUCCCCACGCUUUCGCGCCUCAGCGUCAGUAUCAGACCAGGAAACCGCCUUCGCCACUGGUGUUCCUCCCGAUAUCUACGAAUUUCACCUCUACACCGGGAAUUCCGUUUCCCUCUUCUGUACUCUAGUUAUGCAGUUUCAGAUGCUGUUCUCUGGUUGAGCCGGAGUAUUUCACAUCUGACUUACAUUACCGCCUACGCGCCCUUUACGCCCAAUAAUUCCGAACAACGCUUGCACCCUCCGUAUUACCGCGGCUGCUGGCACGGAGUUAGCCGGUGCUUCCUCCUGCGGUACCGUCACUCCCUGAGAGUAUGCGUCUCAGGGUCGUUCUUUCCGCAUGACAGGGCUUUACAACCCGAAGGCCUUCAUCACCCACGCGGCGUCGCUGGGUCAGGCUUUCGCCCAUUGCCCAAUAUUCCCCACUGCAGCCCCCCGUAGG
rnacentral:rRNA from 1 species